rnacentral:rRNA from 1 species
GCCAGCAGCCGCGGUAAUUCCAGCUCCAAUAGCGUAUAUUAAAGUUCUUGCAGUUAAAAAGCUCGUAGUUGUACCUUGGGCCUGGCUGGCCGGUCUGCCUCACCGCAUGUACUGGUUCGGCCGGGUCUUUCCUCCUGGGGAUCCGCAUGCCCUUCACUGGGUGUGUUGGGGAACCAGGACUUUUACUUUGGAAAAAUUAGAGUGUUCAAAGCAGGCCUUUGCUCGAAUACAUUAGCAUGGAAUAAUAGAAUAGGACGUGCGGUCCUAUUUUGUUGGUUUCUAGGACCGGCGUAAUGAUUAAUAGGGAUAGUCGGGGGCAUCAGUAUUCAGUUGUCAGAGGUGUAAUUCUUGGAUUUACUGAAGACUAACUACUGCGAAAGCAUUUGCCAAGGAUGUUUUCAUUAAUCAGUGAACGACAGUUAGCGGAUCGAAGACGAUCAGAUACCGUCGUAGUCUUAACCGUAAACUAUGCCGACUAGGGAUCGGGCGAUGUUAUUCUUUUGACUCGCUCGGCACCUUACGAGAAAUCUAA